rfam:Nicotiana attenuata strain TT chromosome 1, whole genome shotgun sequence.
AUCCCAAAUAAGCUGAGAUUUGUAAGUGCUUAUUUGAUUCAUGGGAGGCCUAAAUCAAACUAACAAAGUGGAGGUUUCGCUGAUAACGCCUUUUCUCUUUUACAAGAAGGCGUUUACUAGUAACCAUUCCCAUACAUAU